rnacentral:rRNA from 1 species
UUUAGAGGAAGUAAAAGUCGUAACAAGGUUUCCGUAGGUGAACCUGCGGAAGGAUCAUUAUUGAAAUAAACCUGAUAAGUUGUUGCUGGUUCUCUAGGGAACAUUGUGCACACUUGUCAUCUUUAUAUCUCCACCUGUGCACCUUUUGUAGACCUGGAUGUCUCUCCGAGUGCUUGUUUUGCACCUUGGGUUUUGAGGAUUGACUUUAUUGUCUCUACCUUACAUUUCUAGGCCUAUGUUUUCAUCAUAUACUCCAAUGUAUGUUAUAGAAUGUAAUACAUGGGACUUUGUGCCCUAUAAACUUUAUACAACUUUCAGCAACGGAUCUCUUGGCUCUCGCAUCGAUGAAGAACGCAGCGAAAUGCGAUAAGUAAUGUGAAUUGCAGAAUUCAGUGAAUCAUCGAAUCUUUGAACGCACCUUGCGCUCCUUGGUAUUCCGAGGAGCAUGCCUGUUUGAGUGUCAUUAAUAUAUCAACCUCUUCAACUUUUGCUUGUUUGAGUGUUGGAUGUGGGGGUAUUUUUUGUUGGCUUCUAACGAAGUCAGCUCCCCUCAAAUUUAUUAGCAGAUUAAUUUGUUGAUCCUGUUCAUUGGUGUGAUAAUUAUCUACGCUAUUGACAAGUAAAACAAUUCAGCUUCUAAUAGUCCAUUGACUUGGACAAAUUUUUCAUUAAUGUGACCUCAAAUCAGGUAGGACUACCCGCUGAACUUAAGCAUAUCAAUAAGCGGAGGAAAAGAAACUAACAAGGAUUCCCCUAGUAACUGCGAGUGAAGCGGGAAAAGCUCAAAUUUAAAAUCUGACGGUCUUUGGCUGUCCGAGUUGUAAUCUAGAGAAGCAUUAUCCGCGCUGGACCGUGUACAAGUCUCCUGGAAUGGAGCGUCAUAGAGGGUGAGAAUCCCGUCUUUGACACGGACUGCCAGGGCUUUGUGAUGUGCUCUCAAAGAGUCGAGUUGUUUGGGAAUGCAGCUCAAAAUGGGUGGUAAAUUCCAUCUAAAGCUAAAUAUUGGCGAGAGACCGAUAGCGAACAAGUACCGUGAGGGAAAGAUGAAAAGAACUUUGGAAAGAGAGUUAAACAGUACGUGAAAUUGCUGAAAGGGAAACGCUUGAAGUCAGUCAUGUCAGUCAGGGAUCAGCCUUGCUUUUGCUUGGUGUACUUUCUGGCUGAUAGGUCAGCAUCAAUUUUGACUAUUGGAAAAAGAUUAGGGGAAUGUAGCAUCUUCGGAUGUGUUAUAGCCCUUGGUUGCAUGCAAUGGUUGGGAUUGAGGAACUCAGCACGCCGCAAGGCUGGGUUUUUUAACCACGUACGUGCUUAGGAUGCUGGCAGAAUGGCUUUAAUCGACCCGUCUUGAAA